CCAGACGGUACUUUUGGGAACGAUCUUAUCUGCGAUUGUGACAUACUUGAUCUAGAGAAAUGGCUGAAUAGAACAGCUGUGGAUGCUCGGCGACAUGGCCGAUCGUCACAGCCAGUGGUCUGCUAUAUCUACAAUCCGCGGAGGAGGGGAGUUCUUCUCAGCAACCUUCAAGAGGAAGACUUGCAGAUGACGUGCCCAACCACAACCUACCCCCACCCACAGAAUCUACUGUGCAGACCUGCCCGACAUCUCUUACGACUGAAGUGGUGACAUCUCCUCGCCUUGUGACAACACCGACAGCAACAACACAGCUUCCACCCUCUCUUACAACAAGAAGACAGCCUGGAACCUGCUCCGCCCCAAAGGCCAUCGCCGUGCAAAACGUACAGGACUCUCGUGCUGAAAUCACAUGGUUUCACGCCGGUAAAGCUGCAAAUGUGGACCUGUCAGGAUUCGUCAUUCAGUACCAAAUCUUUGGGCAGCAGUCGUGGAUGGAUACACAAGACAUUCACCACAAUGGCCGUAACUUUGCAAUAUUGGACCUUCUUCCCAAUACGCCUUACCAAGCAUGUGUGGCCGUUCUUUGCAAGGAUGAGCUUAGAAAACCUGGACUGGACCACUGUGUGACAUUUUCAACGAAGGUCGUGUCGACUUAUCAGCUACCGCGGACAACAGUAGUCGGCUUGGCCGUAGGUAUCCCUUUGCUGCUCGUCAUCCUCUGCCUAGUAGCGGCAAUCGUCAUUGUCCUGAAGAAGAGAGGGCCUUUUUCUUCAGAGCAUGAAGCUGGUCACACCCCUGAGCGUCCUCAACGCCAGGUAUUUCCUUUUCAUAGUUCGUGUGCAGCAGAAACUCACACUCUGACUGUUUAGUGCUCUAUGGAGCCUCUCAUGGCGGAGUUUGUGGCCGUAUACCUCUACGUCAUGACACAAUUUGCUUAUAUACUACACAUCAACCCUCCCCGAAUAUUUCUUUAAAAAUUCACAAUGCGAAACAUUCCAUAAAAAAACAAGGCCGAUCCGAAUCGCGUACUCAAACUGAAAUAAACGUUUUAAUUGUACAUAGAAUUAAAACGGCAAAUUAUGCUCUACGCAAAAUGCGCUAAUAACGCUGUACGUUGAAUU